rnacentral:lncRNA from 1 species
CUCUAGUCCAAUAGGACUGGUAUCCAUGCAAGAAGAGGAAAAAAAACCCAGCACUGUCUCUCUGUGCACACACAGAGAAGAAGCCAUGUGAGGACACAGCAAGAAGGUGUCUGUCUGCAGGGAAGGAAGAGAAGGCUUGCCAGAAACCGCAGCUGCUAGUAUCUGGAUUAUGGAUUUCUGGCCCUCAGAACAUUACAGGAUAUCAAUGGAGGACUGAGAGGACUCAGCUAGAUGAAUGAACUUUCACCUAAAAGGAUUUUGUGGCCCAUUUUUUGAAGAGCGUUAAGAGCUUUAAGACGUAUCCUUACAUAGGAAUAAUCAGUGAGAAAGGAGAAAAUAUGUAUAAAGUAUCAACUUGCUUCUGACAUCAUGAAAAAAGCCUGGGAAAUUCACCUAACUAAACCUAAUGAAGAAAACCUAUGUUGUUGGUAACCAAAUACUGAGUUGGAGAUCAGAGCUCAGAUUCCUGCUCUAAGUUAUCAGCAAAAGCAUUCUAGGAUAUAUAAGCAGACAAGGAGGGUCUCUAGGAACCAUAGGAGUUUAAUCCACGUGAGCCAUCAGCCUGAUUUACAGCUUCCUGCCCUGCAGCCUGUUCUUCCCUAAACCCUGGGUGGACUAUAGUAACCUAGUUGGUUGAAACCAGCUCCUGACAGACCCUGGCAACUUAGAGAUGAACCCUGGUGAAUCUUCCUCAUGACUGUAACGUCUCCAUCCUGGAGGAACUGUAGUUCCGUUAUCAUAACAUGUAACCCAUGUGUUGCCAUGAUGACACUGUGUCUGCACCGCUGGGACCCCUCAUCUACAUGCGAUAAUGCACCCUCUCCCCUCUCCAUCACCCCAUAAAACCCUCCUGCCACUUUCCCUCAGGGAGACACUGCUUUGGAGAAUACACCCAGUGCUCCCCUUACUUGAGCCAAGUAAUAAAACUCCUAUUGAUCAAAAUCUGCAUUCUCGUGGAGAGUCGUUUGUUGCUUGACAGGUGAAUGAACGCUGUUUGUUUUUUUCGGAUAACAAAUAUGAGGUAUUAAACAAACAAACAAAAAACCCCAGACUUGAAGCUUUCCCAUAAUAACAACAAAGAGUUUGAGUAAGAAUUCCACAGCUUGCCUUCAUCUGUGGCAGACUUGCAUGAAUCAUUUUCAAAUAAAGAUAAUAACUCAGUUGGUCUUGUAGUCCAAACAAAAUGUGCUACUUCAGGAACAUUCACUUCCUAUGUGGACUUUGCUGCUGAGUCAGUGUGAGACCUUGAACAAGUCUCUGUUUGUUUCGUACCAUUCAGAUUUCCUCGUCUGUAAACAUUAAGUAUCUACAUUCACUAAAAGUAGUUCUGAAUGAAUGUUAUUUAAUGGUGCCAAUGAUGUUGGAGGAUACCUGUGGUAAGUGGUUUAAUUUAUUUUUGCAAGUUGGUAUAAUAUCCAUACUAUAUUGACCUUAAAAUAGAUGGACAAUGUGGAUAUGUGGAUGUUUUUGUUAUUGAGAAGGGGGUUGACUGAGAGUAAAGGACAGUUUGAUUUGUUUUUCUACAUUAGUCCUAUUCAUCUGGCAAAUGUGAAAUCUCCAUUUCGUCAUUCAUGUUCCUAAGGUGGGUACUAGAUAUAGUUACAUUUUCUUGCCAAAGUAAAACUUGCAUCAUAUACUUAGGAACGUGUGGAGCACUUCUCAGAGCUGUGCUUAAUCUCAGGUGCCCAGAAAUGUUGAAACUUGUUUACAGAACUUUGGACUCAUCUCUGAUUUAUUAACUCAAGUUAUUCCCUGGACCUAUAAUUAACAUCUCACCAGCCUGAUAUUUUCCUCAACCACUUAACACAAAAGAAUGAUUAUGGAGCUUCACAUGCAACAUUAUCCCUUAAAAUUGACUCUAAACAAGGAUUUAAAAUAAGGUUGUUUCCAUGUGCACAGGUGAUCAAAUCAUUGUGUGAUAAAACGAUAGAUUUUUUUAUGAUGUGUUUUCAUAUCUCUGUGACCUUUUUUGUUAGAGAGGUGAUACCAUUGAGUCCCGGGAGACUUAGGCUAACUCUUAAUAUACAAAAGGAUAAAUACUUUCUUCUUCAAAUAAUUCCAAGCUCGUUUUACUCCUUUAAAAUAAUUUUUAGAUAUACUUGUCAAAUUCUGUGAAAUAUUCAUGUAUGAAUUUUGAUUGAAACUUCAUUAAUGAUGUAUUUAUC